rnacentral:sRNA from 1 species
UGCGAGCUGGUAGGUACUCUCUGUGAGU